UGGGGAAUAUUGCACAAUGGGCGCAAGCCUGAUGCAGCCAUGCCGCGUGUGUGAAGAAGGCCUUCGGGUUGUAAAGCACUUUCAGCGAGGAGGAAGGUGGUGAACUUAAUACGUUCAUCAAUUGACGUUACUCGCAGAAGAAGCACCGGCUAACUCCGUGCCAGCAGCCGCGGUAAUACGGAGGGUGCAAGCGUUAAUCGGAAUUACUGGGCGUAAAGCGCACGCAGGCGGUUUGUUAAGUCAGAUGUGAAAUCCCCGGGCUCAACCUGGGAACUGCAUUUGAAACUGGCAAGCUAGAGUCUCGUAGAGGGGGGUAGAAUUCCAGGUGUAGCGGUGAAAUGCGUAGAGAUCUGGAGGAAUACCGGUGGCGAAGGCGGCCCCCUGGACGAAGACUGACGCUCAGGUGCGAAAGCGUGGGGAGCAAACAGGAUUAGAUACCCCCGGUAGUCCACGCUGUAAACGAUGUCGAUUUGGAGGUUGUGCCCUUGAGGCGUGGCUUCCGGAGCUAACGCGUUAAAUCGACCGCCUGGGGAGUACGGCCGCAAGGUUAAAACUUAAAGGAAUU
rnacentral:rRNA from 1 species